GACGAACGCUGGCGGCGCGCCUAACACAUGCAAGUCGAACGGUGAAGAGGAGCUUGCUCCUCGGAUCAGUGGCGGACGGGUGAGUAACACGUGAGCAACCUGGCUCUAAGAGGGGGACAACAGUUGGAACGACUGCUAAUACCGCAUAAGCCCACGGCUCGGCAUCGAGCAGAGGGAAAGGAGCAAUCCGCUUGAGAUGGCCUCGCGUCCGAUUAGCUAGUUGGUGAGGUAAUGGCCCACCAAGGCGACGAUCGGUAGCCGGACUGAGAGGUUGAACGGCCACAUUGGGACUGAGACACGGCCCAGACUCCUACGGGAGGCAGCAGUGGGGAAUAAUUGCACAAUGGGGGAAACCCUGAUGCAGCGACGCCGCGUGGAGGAAGAAGGUCUUCGGAUUGUAAACUCCUGUUGUUGGGAAGAUAAUGACGGUACCAACAAGGAAGUGACGGCUAACUACGUGCCAGCAGCCGCGGU
rnacentral:rRNA from 1 species